rnacentral:rRNA from 1 species
GUGGGGAAUCUUGCGCAAUGGGCGAAAGCCUGACGCAGCCAUGCCGCGUGGAUGAUGAAGGUCUUAGGAUUGUAAAAUCCUUUCACCGGUGAAGAUAAUGACUGUAGCCGGAGAAGAAGCCCCGGCUAACUUCGUGCCAGCAGCCGCGGUAAUACGAAGGGGGCUAGCGUUGCUCGGAAUUACUGGGCGUAAAGGGAGCGUAGGCGGACAUUUAAGUCAGGGGUGAAAUCCCGAGGCUCAACCUCGGAACUGCCUUUGAUACUGGGUGUCUUGAGUGUGAGAGAGGUGAGUGGAACUCCGAGUGUAGAGGUGAAAUUCGUAGAUAUUCGGAAGAACACCAGUGGGGAAGGCGACUCACUGGAAUGUAACUGACGCUGAGGCGCGAAAGUGUGGGGAGCAAACAGGAUUAGAUACCCGAGUAGUCC